rnacentral:rRNA from 1 species
CUGCUGCCUUCCGUAGGAGUUUGGGCCGUGUCUCAGUCCCAAUGUGGCCGUCCACCCUCUCAGGCCGGCUACUGAUCGUCGCCUUGGUGGGGCCGUUUACCCCGCCAACAAGCUAAUCAGACGCGGGUCCAUCUUACACCACCGGAGUUUUUUCACACAAAUCCAUGCGGCUUCGUGCGCUUAUGCGGUAUUAGCACCUAUUUCUAAGUGUUAUUCCCCCAGUGUAAGGCAGGUUACCCACGCGUUACUCACCCGUCCGCCACUAAGUA